GACAGAGGUGCCAAGCGUUAGGCGGAAUCACUGGGCUUAAAGCGUGUGUAGGCGGAUCGUUAAGUACCUUGUGAAAUCCCACGGCUCAACCGUGGAACUGCUGGGUAUACUGGCGAUCUUGAGCCACCUAGGGGCGAGCGGAACAAACGGUGGAGCGGUGAAAUGCGUAGAUAUCGUUUGGAACGCCGACGGUGAAAACAGCUCGCUGGGGGUGUGCUGACGCUGAGACACGAAAGCCAGGGGAGCGAACGGG
rnacentral:rRNA from 1 species